UCUUGACUCUAAAACAGGUAUGUACAAGCUAUUUAAGAGGGCCAAGAAGGCGGAAUAGCCUCGCUUAUACAGUUUCUGACUGCUAACAGUGCCAUCAUCAAUGAGCUUCACUCUAAAGUCUGUUCAUGGGAGGGUUGGGCUUCCUUCAAUGCUAGGGAUGAAAUUGGAGAAUAAACAAGGGGUUGACAUGCUUGUGAAGUUCUAUUAGGUAUGCUUCUCUCUCUCCCGAAAUCUUUCGGUUCCUGAAGCACAAACCCUGUCAGUUUGUCCAUACGUAGAUUUUUUUCCUUCUUGUUGGUGCACUAUUCUCGGGUUUUUAGACCAUUUGAGAGGGCCAAGAAGGCGGAAUAGCCUCGCUUAUACAGUUUCUGACUGCUAACAGUGCCAUCAUCAAUGAGCUUCACUCUAAAGUCUGUUCAUGGGAGGGUUGGGCUUCCUUCAAUGCUAGGGCUGAAAUUGGAGAAUAAUUAAACAAGGGGUUGACAUGCUUGUGAAGUUCUAUUAGGUAUGCUUCUCUGUCUCCCCAAAUCUUUCGGUUCCUGAAGCACAAACCCUGUCAGUUUGUCCAUAUGUAGAUUUUUUCCCUUCUUGUUGGUGCACUAUUCUCGGGUUUUUUGUGUGUUUCUUUCUUGCGGCCAGCUUGACCAUUUACUCUGGAAGGAGUUAUUCAACUAAAAAAGAGCGAACAAGUUGAGAUUCUUUUGUCUUGUCUAUAUCGUUCCUACAAUGUUGUUUGGGUUGAUUUUCUUGCUUUUUUGUAGUUUGUGGAGAGAGUUAAGUAGUAGGGUAGCCUUUCUAUGGUGGCGAUCGCAUGCUGUGCAGCCGAGUGUAGUUAAUUUGGUGGUUCAUGUUACAAGAAAAAUCAUUGCUCUGUUUGUAGGUUUCAGGUUCCUUUUGUUGUGAGGUGCUCCAUGGCCCUUUGCUUGGAUGCUCUGUGGUGAGGCAACAGAGAUAAUUAGCAGUCUUGUAUACUAACCAAGAGAACAUCCAUUUCAUGAUUUUGGGUAUUGGGUUCUCUUUGCUAAACCAGCUGCAGCUAGAUGAGAGAAGUAGUAAGUAAUAUCAGGUGCAUAAUUUCUAUCAGUCUGUGUAUUCUAAUGACUACCGAUAUCCCCUUUCCUGUAGUGUGGCACUGAAUCAAUAGUCAUUUUUGCACAAUCAUGUGUCAUGUUCCUUUAUGAAUCAUAUAAUAUCAAGAGACAACUUAUGGAACUGUUCAGAUUUUUAUGGCAGCCCUAACUUCGCUAGGUAAUAACUUUAUUUGGUCUUUAUCCAACUGGUUUUUAUCAUAUCAAAUUACUGCAGAGCGUACUGAUUUUUUUGUCACCGAGCAACGGUGCCUUUCAGUUCAACUAGCAGUUUAAACCUCCGAAGGUUUAAGGUGAACAAUGAGAUAUUUUUGGGUUUGUUUGAACUGUUGUGUCUGUCCACUUGAGUGCCUCCAUAUGUGGUUCUCCUGUUGCAUUAGUUAUAUUAUUAUUUUUGAUCAUCUUGCCCAAAACUAAAGUUUCACUACAUGAAAAAUGACUACUUUAUUUUAUACCAUGUUAUCCUCUUUCUCUUCCCCACAGGACAGCGUCUCCCCGUGUUCUCGAUCCGGCGCCGCCACAUAUCAUGAUUCUGGAUUGGGCGCAGGUCAUCGCCAUAAGAGAGCCUGGCUGGUGUGGUCUUCAUGCUUGGUGUGGAGAAGCACGGGGGAUGAGUAGGACGGGCAUGGGGAAGGAGCAGCUAGGCCGGAGCUCCGGCGUUGUUCGCGUCAUGGUCGAAUGGAGCCGGCCAUCACUAUGGGCUGCUGCUCGCCGGUCGUCGUUUAUCCAAUCUCAGUUGCUCAUCUUUGGCUUCACCAUCUUCCUCCCCUGAUCAUGCAUCUAUUUUAGAUCAUAUAAUUAUGCUAUAUCAUAUAUGUUGUUUAGUUCAGACUUGUGCAUGUGCAUGCAUUGGCAUUGAUUUAGACAGAGAUAUUGCAUGAUUUGUACAUAGAAGGAGUACGGAUGAUCUAGGAAUAAAUGUUUGAAUAAAGUUAGUAGUGAGAUUUAGAUAGAGGUUACCUGCACUGUUCUGUUUUAUGUAGAUUCUAAGCUGCAAAAUCAUACAUUGUCCUGUUAGUAAUUUGUUUGAGUUGUGAGUUUACGCAUUUUCCCUUGGAAUGUUUGUAUGUGUGAUCACUGGCUUUUAGGUUCCCAGUGGUAUAUCAUGAGAAGUUUUUUACUCUGCACCGGGUGAUCAACUACAUAUUUAGACGAAUACACUAUUCAGGACCAGGAACAUUAAGAUUUCUAAUGUUGUUUUCCUCUUUCAAGAUUGCAGUUUUCAUAAGCCUUAGAUAGCUAAGGUACACAUAGUUUUCAUUUAAC
rnacentral:lncRNA from 1 species